rnacentral:rRNA from 1 species
GAUGAACGCUGGCGGCGUGCCUAAUACAUGCCAGUCGAGCGCUCGUUCGAGUAGCUUGCCAUUCUGCUGUUAGCGGCGGACUGGUUAGUAACACUUCGACCUCCUCUCUAUAAGACUGUAACCACCUCGGGAAACCGGUGCUACUCCCUGAUAAUAUUUUGAACCGUCUUUAUCCAAUGAAAAAGACGGUCUUGCUUAGGCUUAUCGUUGGUCCCGCGCUGCAUUAGCUAGUUGGUAAGGUCACGGCUUACCAAGGCAACGAUGCAUAGCCGAGCUGAGAGGGUGAUCGGCCACACUAGAACUGAGACGCGAUCCAGACUCCUACGGGAGGCAGCGGUAGGGAAUGUACCGCAAUGGGCGAAAGCCUGACGGAGCAAAGCCGCGUGAGGGAUGAAGGUCUUCGGAUCGUAAAACUCUGUUAUUAGGGAAGAACAGAUGUGUAAGUAACUGUGCACAUCUUGACGGUACCUAAUGAGAAAGCCACGGCUAACUACGUG